rnacentral:rRNA from 1 species
GAUGAACGCUAGCGACAGGCUUAACACAUGCAAGUCGAGGGGCAGCGAGGGCGUAGCAAUACGCCUGUCGGCGACCGGCGCACUGGUGAGUAACACGUAUGCGACCUGCCCCCUACAGGGGUAUAACCCCGUAGAAAUGCGGACUAAUCCCCCAUAGUCCUGGGUGCUGCAUGGCAUUCAGGGGAAAGGCCAGCCGGUAGGGGAUGGGCAUGCGGCGCAUUUAGCUAGUUGGCGGGGCAACGGCCCACCAAGGCGACGAUGCGUAGGGGUUCUGAGAGGAAGGUCCCCCACACUGGUACUGAGACACGGACCAGACUCCUACGGGAGGCAGCAGUGAGGAAUAUUGGGUCAAAUGGGCNCAGGCCUGAACCAGCCAAGUCGCGUGAGGGA